GUUAAAGUGCAGCAUGAAUCUUGGAAAAUGUCAGUAUUUCUGAACACGUUCUUUGCUGUUUUUUUGUUCACAUGAUUCUUUCCAUCAUGUCACGGUUUGAGUCUAUGGCAAACUUGCUGAAAUGCCAUAUGACAACAUUAAAAGGUAAUGUGACAGCAAAAGACAAGUGAAAUCUGAAUGUCUUGUAUAUGAAUACAUCAACAAACUGUAUUAACUUGUGCCGCAUGAAUCUUAUGAUAUAAAAACAUAACUGAACAUGCUAUUCUCUUUUCUUUACUCUUUCUGUCUGUAUAUGGUUUGAGCUGCCACAAUUGUGAAUAUGGUAAGAAAGGUCAUGUGUCAACAUGAAAAAAAACCUGUAUAAACUUGUGUUAAACUUAUUCUUUCUUUGCAUGACUCCUUCCAACUACAUGCCAAGGUUUGAGCCAUCACAAUGGCAAACAUGGUAAUACAUAAAAAAACUUAACUUUUGUUAAAGUGCAGCAUGAAUGUCUAAUUCUGGAUAAUCACUGUGUUUCUGAACAUAUUCUUCUGUUUUGUACCUUGCAUGACUCUUUCCAACUACAUGACAUGGUUUGAGCCAUCAAUGGCAAACGUGGUAAGAAUAUCAUGUGUCAAUAUCAAAAACCUAUAUUAGCUUGUGUUAAAGUGCAGCAAGAAUUACUGUAUUUCUGAACAUGUUCUUCUCUGCUUCAUUCUUUACAUAACUUUUUCCAACUACACGCAAUGGUUUGAUCUGCCACAAUGACGUGGUAAGGUAGAUCAUUUGACAGCAAUAUAAGGCAAGUCCAGUCUGGACGUUUUGUAUAUGAAUACAUCAAAAACUCUAUUAACUGAAAACUGUCUUAUAGUGCAAAUUCACUGUAUUUCUGAACAUGUUCUUCUGUCUCUUUGCAUGACUCUUUCCAACUAACGGUUCGAGCCGUCACGAUGGCAAACAUGUUUUGACCAUCACAAUGACAAAUGUGGUAAGGAAUGUUGUGUAAUUUUCAAAAAUCUGUAUUAGUUUGUGUUAGAAUGCAGCAAGAAUCACUGUAUUUCUGAACAUGUUCUUCUCUACUUCUAUCUUUGCACGACAUUUUCCAACUACAUGCCAUGGUUUGAUCUGCCACAAUGAUGUGGUAAAGUAGAUCAUUUGACAGCAAUAUAAGGCAAGUCCAGUCUGAAGGUUUGUUUAUGAAUACAGCAAAAACUCUAUUAACUUGUUUUAUAGUGCAAAUUCACUGUAUUUCUGAACAUAUUCUUCUGUUUCUUUGCAUGACUCUUUCCAACUACGUGCCUCUGUUUGAGCCGUCACAAUGGCAAACAUGGUAAUACCUUUACAUCUCCAUGCCUCUGUUCUGAAAUAAUGGUACACAUGAUGAGAAAGAUCAUGUGACAGCAAUAAAAGGCAAGUACAAUCUGAAUGUUUUCUAUAGGAAUACAUUAAAAAAAAACUGUUAACCAUGAAUCUUAUAUUCUAGAAAAAUCACUAUUUCUGAACAUGUUCUUCUCUUUUCCUUCUUGACAAUGGUGAAUAUGACUUGGCUUGAGCCGUCACGAUGGCAAAAAUGGUACCCUGUGUGGACAGCUCUUUGAGGCUUUAGUUCUGUAACUAGCCUCGGGGGAUGCGGUGACUAGCCACUGUCAAGAGUAGCCAGGAUUAGGCCGUUUGCUAGAGGCCUGUGGAUGACAGCGGUGCCCAUAUCUUCACCCUUGGCAUUGCUGGAGGACCGCCAUAGAGAAGCAAGAGAGUAGUCUCUCCUCGACUAAUGUGGCAGCAAACAAGGUUCACAUUAGAACUGAGCCGCAUCCUGGGAAAAGCUCAAGUGCAGCGGGGUCGACGGAAGGUCUCUUGCCCUUAUAGAGCUGGGAUGAGCUCUGAUGAAUGGAAAACAGGGAAGACUGUGGAUAACCAAAAGUAGGAAGCUUUUUCAUGUACCCUAAUGUCACUAACAUGCGACAUGGCUUGUAAAUUCACAUAUGUUGACUAUACAGUGUGUGUUUCUUAGAGGAAUGUGUAGUUGUUCAGGAAGAGUAGAAUUACUAUAGGUUGUCCUAUAAUAGUUCAUCCCCCCCCAAAAAAUCUGUCGUAUUGUAAUGGCUUACUUUCUUCCAGUGAACACAACAGGAGAACAUCUAAACAUUCUUAAAUCAAUAUAUAGCCUAAUUUAUGUAAUGUAAUAGCUCUGAAUCUUUGUUUUCAUUCAGGGCUGUGUUUUCCAAAAGCAUAGUAAGCCUAAAUUGAUCGUAGCUCCAUUGGUUUCAAUGGGUGUAUGAUGUACUUAAGCUUACAAUGCUUUUGGGAAACGCAGCCUGGAUCUUUUCAAUUGCUAUUCAUUGCAAUUGUAUGUGAAAGAUCGACCAAAAUAUCUUGCAAAAUUUCUCCCUUUGUGUUUCAUGAAAGAAAGUUAGUCAAACAAGGUUUGAAUGAGGACGAGUAAACGCUGACAGAAUUUUCUGGGUGAACUAUUCCUUUAACAGAUUAAUUCAUUCAACUCUAUUCUUUCAUGCAACUCUUCAUUUGUAAUCUCCUGCACUGGAUCCUAUUUUUGAUGUGUUUUUUUUUUUUCUCCUGAUCACACUGUGCACACGACUAGUUGAGAUCAAAGGCGAGCUUCAAAGCAGCAGGAGGAAUCUGAAGCUAAAGGGGUCUGUCUCUCUCUCCAUCUCAUUCCUAUGCUUCUCAAACACUCCAGCAGACACCACCCAGCACCCGUCUGGGCGAGGAUCACAUAUUAUGACAGCACAUAUGAUGAGCUCUUUCAAGAGCUGGACUCUCCUCUGGACACAAAAAGAGGCAAAAUGUGCACAUACUCUCUCUCUCUCUCUCUCUCUCUCUCUCUCUCUCAAUAAGUGCUGUUAUCAGAAAGCUGCUCUGACGUGAGCUGUCUCUGUGGUGUCUGAAGUAAAGACAAGGUAAAGGCUGUAAUUAAUCCACUGAAGGACCACUCGAGCCAUUCGUCCCUGACGCCACUCUGAAAAAUCAAACAUUUGCCAUUAAAACAGACACAGUGAACCUCCCCCAGCUCAAAGCAGAUUGAUUUGAUCCAAAGCUCUGAAUGUGUCUUUUCACAUGGGUUAGGAAUGUGUGUGUGUAUGCGCGGUAGGGUAUAAUUAAAUGCUAAAGAGAGAGCUGAUAGGAUAUAGACAGGCUCAGAGUGAGAGUGAUCAUUGAUUUUCUCCUCUGUUGAAUGGGGUUUAUUAGUUUACGUGGUUGCCAAAUGCACAGAUGAUGCCUGCAGAAACCUACCCCCAACACACGCACACAAGCAAUGCCAGUUCUGCAGCUACAGAGACAGAACAUCAUCAUGGAGGAGAUUGCUCUGGCCAAGGUGCUGGAAGGAUGAUUUGCACCGCUGACAGGGGGCUUUUGUGUGGCGUGUGUGUGUGAGAUGGGCGUUUGUGUGCCAAAAAUGAAAUGUGGAGUCAGUAUGUCAGUGCCGUCUGUCAGCUUUUACCUGGGUCACACACUCACACACACACCUGCUUGUGUUUGUGCAAAAAGUGUACAUUUCUAUCACUGUUUAUGCAUUACAGACAUUGUGGAAUCAAAUCAAAAUAAGUUUACAUUUCUUUCAAAAAAUGUGAGGUCAUUAUAUAUUGAAAUGUAUCAAUAAAAAAGCUUUUCUGUGACCCUUUCUGCAGGUUACAUUGCCACGGCAAUAGGUGGUGAUAUGACUUUUUUGUUAUUAGUGUAUCAUUGAAAAAAACCACAAUCAGAAAUUAAACAAGUUACUCUUUUCUGAGCAAAUAAAUCAUUCAUCCAACUGAUUAUUUUAAAACACUGAUUUAUUAAGGAACUAAACGUGGUUGUUUUUAUACUGGGAGUCACUAAAUCAUUCAAUUCAUUCAAAAUCACUGUUCAAUCAUUUAGAAAUUCAACCAUUUUUCUUUAUGAGUGAGUAAUUGAAUCAUUCAAUUUAACUGAUUUGUUCAAAAGAACCAAUGUAAUCAAGAAUAUAUCACAUGACUAUCUUUGUGAGUGAGUCAAAGAAAUAAUUCGCUCAAAUGAUAUGUUCACGAAAAAUGAUUAAUUCAGGAAUGAAACAAACAAAUAUAUGACUGAGUAACUGAAUCAUUCAGUCAACUGAUUCCUUCAAAACAUUGAA